rnacentral:rRNA from 1 species
GACAGAGGAUGCAAGCGUUAUCCGGAAUGAUUGGGCGUAAAGCGUCUGUAGGUGGCUUCGUAAGUCCGUUGUGAAAGUCAAAGGCUCAACCUUUGAAAGCCGAUGGAUACUGUGGAGCUAGAGUACGGAAGAGGCGAGUGGAAUUCCUGGUGUAGCGGUGGAAUGCGCAGAUAUCAGGAGGAACACCAAUAGCGAAGGCAGCUCGCUGGGACGUUACUGACACUGAGGCGCGAAAGCGUGGGGAGCGAACAGG